rnacentral:rRNA from 1 species
CCUAGGGGGGGCAGCAGUGAGGAAUAUUGGUCAAUGGGCGGAAGCCUGAACCAGCCAAGUAGCGUGCGGGAUGAAGGCCCUACGGGUCGUAAACCGCUUUUGCACGGGGACAACACCCUCCACUUGUGGAGGUCUGCAGGUACCGUGCGAAUAAGGGCCGGCUAAUUCCGUGCCAGCAGCCGCGGUAAUACGGAGGGUCCGAGCGUUAUCCGGAUUCAUUGGGUUUAAAGGGAGCGUAGGCGGGGGUUCAAGUCAGCGGUAAAAUUGCGGGGCUCAACCCCGCCCCGCCGUUGAAACUGGGAGGCUUGAGUGUGUGAGAGGCAUGCGGAAUGCGUGGUGUAGCGGUGAAAUGCUUAGAUAUCACGCAGAACCCCGAUUGCGAAGGCAGCAUGCC